GACGAACGCUGGCGGCGUGCCUAAUACAUGCAAGUAGAACGCUGAAGCGAGGAGCUUACUCUUCUUGGAUGAGUUGCGAACGGGUGAGUAACGCGUAGGUAACCUGCCUUGUAGCGGGGGAUAACUAUUGGAAACGAUAGCUAAUACCGCAUAACAAUGGAUGACACAUGUCAUUUAUUUGAAAGGGGCAAUUGCUCCACUACAAGAUGGACCUGCGUUGUAUUAGCUAGUAGGUGAGGUAAUGGCUCACCUAGGCGACGUUACAUAGCCGACCUGAGAGGGGGGUUGGCCACCCUGGGACUGAGACACGGCCCAGACUCCUACGGGAGGCAGCAGUAGGGAAUCGUCGGCAAUGGGGGCAACCCUGACCGAGCAACGCCGCGUGAGUGAAGAAGGUUGUCGGAUCGUAAAGCUCGGUUGUAAGUCAAGAACGGGUGUGAGAGUGGAAAGUUCACACUGUGACGGUAGCUGACCAGAAAGGGACGGCUAACUACGUG
rnacentral:rRNA from 1 species